CAAAAAAGUUUGGACACACUAAAUUAAUUCAGAUUUUAGUCUUAAAUGGGAAAGGAAAAACAAUAUAUAAAGGAAAAUGCAAAGCCUAAUUAUAUAAGGAACUUCGGAAUUUCACAUUGGAAACACAUUUACCUCUUCUUUAGCAGUCUCUAGAUCCCCUUGAACCCAGAUAAGAUUUCUGUAUCCAACGUUGUAUAGAAGCUCACAAGCAGCUAGAGAUAUGUUAGAAUUAUGGUUUGUUUGUGAUGAAGACUGAAGAGACGCGCGGCCUGGCUUUCUGAUGAAGAGACAGAUAGAGAUAAAAAUUAGGUUGUAGGAAUUGAAGAUUUGGUCAAUCUCGAUUUUGUUUGUUUUGUUCAAUACAUUCGAUUUAUCAGUUUUGAUCAGAUUAGAUUGAGUUUUAUAUUUAAUGAAAAUCAUAUUGAAUUAUGAGUCGGUCUUCAGUUAAACCGGUUUGUCCAAUCCGGUUUUAAAAACAAUGAAUAAAAUAAAAAGCCAAACAUAUUAAAGCCAUAUAUAUACAUACAUAUAUUAUCCUUUCUAGACUCUAGUCUUUAUACAAUGCUGGUAUCAUUCUUGUGAGUCUCCUAAUAACUCUCUUUAACCCUCUCUCUUUGGCAGAUCUUUCUUUAUUUCUUCCCACUCAUUUACUUUUCAAAAUUUAUCUUUCUUUGGAUUAGUUUGUCUAUUUUAGUGUUAGCUGAAAAAAUUUGUUUGAUAAUUCUUCCUCUCAAAGGUGCUUUUUGCCAGAAUCUAAUAGGGUAUUGCUUCAAAGUGUGUUCUUGCCAGAUUCUAAUCGGAGAAUUCAAUACCCAGAUACCAAAAACUAUAGAUGUUGAUGGCACUAGUUUUCUUUUGAUUCCAUUUGUUACUUUCUCAUUUUCCCUUUUUUGAUAAUAAAAAUAGGGUUUAGUGCAUGGAUAAAUUGACAGUCGUUGUUUGCGUAUGUAGCAUCAGCAAGAUUCACAUGCAUUUGCAGGGGGUAGUGAUGGAAUAAUCUCUGCCAAAGUUCUUUGAAAUUGAGAAUCUUGAUGAUGCUGCAUCGGCAAUAAAUGGCUUUACUAUACAAAAUAUAAAGGACUAUUGAACAAUAUUAACUCUAAUCUCACCUUUGCCACUUUGCACUUCAGUAUUCAACAAGAUGAUUCCAUCCAUCUACUUUCUUUUCUGUUGCUGUCAGGUGGGUGGUUUAUUUUCUAUUUUUGCUUCUAUUUUCUUUUCCUUUUUGCAGGUAACUAUAAGAUCUUGCAGCAGGCUAUUGAAGAUAGCUAGCUCCUUACAUUCGUGAGUUGACUUUGCAGAUCUAUCAUUUUGAUUGUUACUUAUAGGUGAAUAUUUGUGGGUUUUCAAUGCUCUUUCAGGAGUGCCAGAAAGGGAGAAGAACGAUCAGCUUACAAGAUUCACUGAAGUUGUUCAGAGCAAGAGGAGGAUCAAGAGAAUGAAGAGUUGUUUGUCUAUGUCAUAUAAACGGAAGGAGAGGGUUGACGUGGCAGACAUGCAAGUGAAGGAGAAAAACCAUUUCUUAUUCUUCUUUCAUCGUCGUCAAGUCAUGACUCACCCUACUCUUUCUGCUACACACUUCGAACCUCUCUUGUCUCUUUUUUAUAAUUUAGUACUUGUAAAUAUGGACCACUGAAUUCUUUAAUUAAAUUUCAUCAUGUUCGUCAUAACAAACACAUGUUAUGGGCCCAAGGAUUUGCUUGAAAGGUGAAAACCAAAACUCUCUUUUUACAAGAUUCGGGUUCGAAUAACAAAAGUGAAGGAAGACACUUUUGUUUAUUUGUAUAAAUACAUAUACAUUUAUCAAAUAGUUCUGAAAGUCACGUAGUUAAUUUGUUAUUGUGCGACAAGAAAUAUUCUUAU